rnacentral:rRNA from 1 species
CCUACGGGUGGCUGCAGUCGAGAAUCAUUCACAAUGGGGGAAACCCUGAUGGUGCGACGCCGCGUGGGGGAAUGAAGGUCUUCGGAUUGUACACUCUGUCAUGUGGGAGCAAAUUAAAAAGAUAGUACCACAAGAGGAAGAGACGUCUAACUCUGUGCCAGCAGCCUCGGUAAUACAGAGGUCUCAAGCGUUGUUCGGCAUCACUGGGAGUAAAGCGUGCGGAGGCUGUUUGGUAAGUCGUGGGUGAAAGGCGCGGGCUGAACCCGCGGACGACACAUGAUACUGCGAGACUAGAGUAAUGGAGUGGGAACCGGAAUUCUCGGUGUAGCAGUGAAAUGCGUAGAUAUCGAGAGGAACACUCGUGGCGAAGGCGGGUUCCUGGACAUUAACUGACGCUGAGGCACGAAGGCCAGGGGAGCGAAAGGGAUUAGAUACCCCUGUAGUC